rnacentral:rRNA from 1 species
AGCGAACGCUGGCGGCAGGCCUAACACAUGCAAGUCGAACGAACCUUUCGGGGUUAGUGGCGGACGGGUGAGUAACACGUGGGAACGUGCCUUUAGGUUCGGAAUAACUCAGGGAAACUUGUGCUAAUACCGAAUGUGCCCUUCGGGGGAAAGAUUAAUCGCCUUUAGAGCGGCCCGCGUCUGAUUAGCUAGUUGGUUGAGGUAAUGGCUCACCAAGGCGACGAUCAGUAGCUGGUCUGAGAGGAUGAUCAGCCACAUUGGGACUGAGACACGGCCCAAACUCCUACGGGAGGCAGCAGUGGGGAAUCUUGCGCAAUGGGCGAAAGCCUGACGCAGCCAUGCCGCGUGAAUGAUGAAGGUCUUAGGAUCGUAAAAUUCUUUCACCGGGGACGAUAAUGACGGUACCCGGAGAAGAAGCCCCGGCUAACUUCGUG